rnacentral:rRNA from 1 species
GAUGAACGCUGGCGGCGUGCCUAAUACAUGCAAGUCGAGCGAACGGACGAGAAGCUUGCUUCUCUGAUGUUAGCGGCGGACGGGUGAGUAACACGUGGAUAACCUACCUAUAAGACUGGGAUAGCUUCGGGAAACCGGAGCUAAUACCGGAUGAUAUUUUGAACCGCAUGGUUCAAAAGUGAAAGACGGUCUUGCUGUCACUUAUCGAUGGAUCCGCGCUGCAUUAGCUAGUUGGUAAGGUAACGGCUUACCAAGGCAACGAUGCAUAGCCGACCUGAGAGGGUGAUCGGCCACACUGGAACUGAGACACGGUCCAGACUCCUACGGGAGGCAGCAGUAGGGAAUCCUCCGCAAUGGGCGAAAGCCUGACGGAGCAACGCCGCGUGAGUGAUGAAGGUCUUCGGAUCGUAAAACUCUGUUAUUAGGGAAGAACAUAUGUGUAAGUAACUGUGCACAUCUUGACGGUACCUAAUCAGAAAGCCACGGCUAACUACGUG